rnacentral:rRNA from 1 species
UACGUAGGGGGCAAGCGUUGUCCGGAAUCAUUGGGCGUAAAGAGCGCGUAGGCGGUCCGGUAAGUCCGCUGUGAAAGUCAAGGGCUCAACCCUUGAAUGCCGGUGGAUACUGUCGGGCUAGAGUCCGGAAGAGGCGAGUGGAAUUCCUGGUGUAGCGGUGAAAUGCGCAGAUAUCAGGAGGAACACCGAUGGCGAAGGCAGGUCUCUGGGCCACUACUGACGCUGAGAAGCGAAAGCAUGGGGAGCGAACAGG